GCACCUGAAAUCAAGUAAGAUCACCCGCUGGACUUAAGCAUAUUACUAAGCGGAGGAAAAGAAAUUAACUAAGAUUGCCUUAGUAAGGGCGACUGAACCGGCAAAAGCUCAAAAUUAAAAUCGGAAAUUCAAAGAAUUUUCGAAUUGUAAUCAGGGUACCCAAAAUACGGACGGUCACUCAAGAGUAUCGAAAGACUCGCCAAAGAGGGUGCAAGCCCCGUGCAGUGAUCGUUCGAACGUGGGGACUCGAACAAGAGUCGUGUUGCUUGGAACUGCAGCACUAAGCGGGAGAUAUGAUUCUUCCAAAGCUAAAUAUGGAUGGGAGACCGAUAGCGGACAAGUACUGUGAAGGAAAGAUGAAAAGGACUUUGAAAA
rnacentral:rRNA from 1 species